ensembl:misc_RNA Metazoa_SRP Metazoan signal recognition particle RNA
GCCGGGCGUGGUGGCGCAUGCCUGUAAUCCCAGCUACUCGGGAGGCUGAGGCAGGAGAAUCACUUGAGCCCGGGAGGCGGGGGUUGCAGUGAGCCAAGAUCGCAUCACUGCACUCCAGCCCGGGCAAGAGAGCAAGACUCUGCCUCAA